CUCCCCUACAGCUGCCAGAAGUGCUUGGGGAGGGGUGAGAGGGAGCAUAAAGCCAUUCCAUUCUCACAGGAGGGCAAGGCAGAGGAGGCAGGCUUCUCUCUUCCUUCCCAUGAACAACAGGGAUGAAGACCAAACAACUUGAGCAGGGAACCUGGAAUGGGACAUACUAAUCAUGCGCAGCAUUUGUCAUGCAUAAUGAAUCCACCUCAAAAUGAAUGGCCAGAACAACGUGUUUCAUGACAGACUCAUCAUUGUCAAAGGAUCUUAAGAUUUAGGCAUCUUCACAGAGCCUGAGUGUUUUAUCUGCAAAAACAUGCUCCCCUUUGCACACACAUUGACGUCUACCCACACUACACCAAGGAGAAGAAAGGGAUUCAAUUGUCAGAAGCUGUUGAGGGAUUCCGAAGGAGUUGGGUCUUCCCAGAUCCAGGGGACAGUAAGCC